rnacentral:rRNA from 1 species
UAUUGGGCAAUGGGCGAAAGCCUGACCCAGCGACGCCGCGUGGGUGAUGAAGGCCUUCGGGUUGUAAAACCCUUUCGUGCGGAAAGAAUAGUCUCGUAGCGAAUAACUACGGGAUUUGACGGUACCGCAGGAAGAAGCACCGGCUAACUCCGUGCCAGCAGCCGCGGUAAUACGGAGGGUGCAAGCGUUGUUCGGAAUUAUUGGGCGUAAAGGGCGCGUAGGUGGUUGUGAUAGUCAGAUGUGAAAUCCUUCGGCUCAACCGAAGAACUGCAUCUGAAACUUCAUAGCUCGAGUACAGGAGAGGGAAACGGAAUUCCCGGUGUAGAGGUGAAAUUCGUAGAUAUCGGGAGGAACACCAGUGGCGAAGGCGGUUUCCUGGCCUGAUACUGACGCUGAGGCGCGAAAGCGUGGGGAGCAAACAG